GGAUAAUAUUUCAUAGUUGAAAAGGCUUGGAAAAGUUUUUCAAUUAAAGGGUUAAAAUAAGUGGUUUUUAAUUGCCAUAGGAUAGGAUCGUGCUCGAUUAUGGUAGUUGGUGAGGUAAUGGCUCACCAAGCCGAUAAUCGAUAGGGGCCGUGAGAGCGGGAGCCCCGAGAUGGGUACUGAGACAACGACCCAGACCUUACGAGGUGCAGCAGGCGCGAAACCUCCGCAAUACACGAAAGUGUGACGGGGUUACCCAAAGUGUUCUUAUAGAACUGUGGUAGGUGAGUAAUGUUCCCUACUAGAAAGGAGAGGGCAAGGCUGGUGCCAGCCGCCGCGGUAAAACCAGCUCUUCAAGUGGUCGGGAUAAUUAUUGGGCUUAAAGUGUCCGUAGCCGGUUUAGUAAGUUCCUGGUAAAAUCGAGUAGCUUAACUAUUCGUAUGCUAGGAAUACUGCUAAUACUAGAGGGCGGGAGAGGUCUGAGGUACUACUGGGGUAGGGGUGAAAUCUUAUAAUCCUAGUAGGACCACCAGUGGCGAAGGCGUCAGACUGGAACGCGCCUGACGGUGAGGGACGAAAGCCAGGGGAGCGAACCGGAUUAGAUACCCGGGUAGUCCUGGCCGUAAACGAUGCAUACUAGGUGAUGGCACGGCCAUGAGCCGUGUCAGUGCCGUAGGGAAACCGUUAAGUGUGCCGCCUGGGAAGUACGGUCGCAAGGCUAAAACUUAAAGGAAUUGGCGGGGGAGCACCACAAGGGGUGAAGCCUGCGGUUUAAUUGGAUUCAACGCCGGAAAUCGA
rnacentral:rRNA from 1 species